UUCUCUAGUUAGCCCCCGAAAUAAAAAAACUUGUGUUAAAUUGAUUAUUUUAAUUCUGAAAAAGAGUAAAAGACAAAUAAAACUUGGGUUUUCAACUUAUUUACUGACCCAACCUCAAUUUGGAUCUAGAUCCACAUACAUUGGGUCGGAUUUUGGAUCAUUUAACCCCAAAAAUCUCAAAAUCGUAAAGUUCCAAAAUCAAAAUCCCUAACUCUAAUUUUUUUCCCCUUUUCUCUAAAAAAAAAAACGACGAAUCGCCGUUCAUCUCUCCGCCGUUCUUCUCUCGUCGCCGGCAAACCUUCUUUUCUUCCCUCUUCUCUCCGAAUCGAAACUCUCAUUCUUCUUCUCGCUGGAAAUUCUUUGUUAGAAAUCCAAUCCAAAUCCAUGUUCCUCCGUCUCCUUUCUUAAGGAGAAGGAGAAGGAAAAAGAGAAGGAGAUGGAGCAAGAGCAGGCGAAGCAGAUGGAGCAAGAGAAGAGUUCGGCUCCUAUUUUGGUCUCUGAUGAUGAGUUCCGCUUGUAUUCUGGUCUCUAAUUUUUCGUAAACUAGAUUUGAGUUUAAAAGAUAUGGAAAUCAAAUAUUUAAUUUUAAAUGCUAUUAAACUUAAUAUCGAGAAUAUCUAGCAAAUGGAAACUACUAAAACAAUAAAAUCGAAAUCAAAUCUAAAUUUCUAAUGAUUAUUCCACAUACCUUAGUUAUCAUAAAUAACUAAUACAAUAUAAAAAUCAUUAAUUCGAUUGUUUAAAUUAGGAAAAUUUAAACAUUAAUUUCCAGAAUUUAAUUCGUUUCCGAAAUUAAUGCACAAUUAUAUAUCCAUUGUAUAUAUAUAUAUUUUCUUUUUUUUGUAAACUAUAUAUAUCGUAUUAACAAACGAAUAUUUUAUAUUCAACUUAUUUCCUAUAAAAAUGCUACAUAUUAUGACCCCAUUAAAGUUUGUUUCCUAAAUCAAAUAAACCGUAUAAAAUCCACAUUCAAUCACAACUACUGAAUUGGAAAUGAUUCUUAACUAAACGAUUUUAUUCUUAUUUCCUAUAGCAUAUUCUAUUAGAUUUAGGAUCAUGAAUAUUUUAUAAGAUAUAUAAUACUUGCUAAUCAAGAUUUUGUAUAUUCUCUACCAUAAAACCCUACUAAUCUAUCUAAACACUAUAAAACACUAAUACAUUUCCGAUCUCUAACUUAAGCUCAAAAUUUUUUUUACGAACACCAAUGGCCAAAUCCUUUGCUUGCUUGAGGAACAUCAUGCCUUACAAAACAGAUUGGCGUGUGCAGGUGAAGGAUAUUUGUGGCAUUGCAGAUCUAUCAAACUAAUAUAU